rnacentral:rRNA from 1 species
UCAGACGAUGCGUCAUGCAUAUCAAUAAGCGGAGGAAAAGAAACUAACAAGGAUUCCCCUAGUAACGGCGAGUGAAGCGGGAAGAGCUCAAAUUUGAAAUCUUAAAGGGUUUCCCUUUACGAAUUGUAGUUUAAAGAAGUGUUUUCUGUUGAGGUUUUGGUAAAAGUUCUUUGGAAUAGGACAUCAUAGAGGGUGAGAAUCCCGUAUUUGACCUUUACUUUCAACUUUGUGAUACACUUUCAAAGAGUCGGAUUGUUUGGGAAUGCAGUCCAAAAUGGGUGGUAAAUUUCAUCUAAAGCUAAAUAUUGGCGAGAGACCGAUAGCGAACAAGUACCGUGAGGGAAAGAUGAAAAGAACUUUGAAAAGAGAGUUAAACAGUACGUGAAAUUGUCAAAAGGGAAGCGUUUGACACCAGUGUUGUUUUUCUGAAAAUCAAUUAAAGAACUGUUUAUGCUAAGCUGUUUAGACUUUAUCAGCUAUCUGUUUAGUUUUAGGCUUUUCUUUAAUGCACUUUUCAGUUAACAAGUCAACAUCAAUUUCUUUUGCUGUAAAAAAGCUUGAGGAAGGUGGCUUGAGAUUCGUCUUAAGUGUUUAUAGCCUCUUGCCUAUGCAGUCGGAGAGAUUGAGGUCUGCAGCGUAGAUCCUUCGGGGCUAAAUGCAUUUGUGCUAAGUUAUAGCAUUUUAUAGACAACUUGUUGACUAUGAUUUGUCUUGUAGCUUACUCGCUUAUGUUAUUUUACCUACGCUUAGGAUGUUGACACACGCGCGUGCUC